AUGUGGGAUGUGCUUGGCUACUGAACCUUUUUGUGACUUGAAAACCUUCAUGUGGUCACACAACACACGACGACACCACAAGGUUGCUCUUAAUGGCCUUCUCAUUCGGGAGAUACAUGGAUGCCUGGUCUUUGGAUAUGUCACACGGGAUGAAUUGUGAUGGUGCUGGUGGGGAAGGACCCUGCACUCGAGACUUCACCGCAAGGAGACUGUACAUGUGUUUCAGUUGACCGUGGUGAUCACUCCUGAUCCUCGCCUCUUGUCUACAUUGUCUCCCACAAACUUGAAGGACGAACCAUCAUUCUUAAUGGGGACCCUGUGCUGCUCACUGAUGGUUGUGAUGAGUCCUAGUACAGCUGUGUAACUGAGUGUUACGUUACGUUCAGAGAAAAGCACAAGUGAAAGAAAGGUCUGCAGUCCACUCAUUUCUCUAUUCCGUUCCUUAAGCAACACACUGAGGGCCAUACAGAUACCGGGGUGGCGCCUUUCUUGGCGCCUUUCUUGGUCUUAUUCCUGUGGUCGGACCUGGUAACAAGCAGUUUGAAGAGAGCUGAAGCCUUCACUUUUACCUCGUCGAUACACUUCUCCAAUGAGAACGAAUCAACCUUGUCUACUGGGAACUUGCGGAACAAGGAUGGGGCAUCACCAGACUUCCGACACAGAGUAGCACAUUCAUCAUUGAUGUGGCUAAUGAAUUUCUGUACUAGCAACUCUCUCAAUGCAGACACAGAGAACACAGCUCUAGCGAUGGACCACCUGCCAGUACUUGUCCAACCUCUACUGUCAACGACCUUGGUGACUGGCGUUCCCUUACUGGCUGCAGAGUGGACUGUGUUGACUGGUGGGAAAUCAGGAACUGUGAUGGACUCAUUAUCACUCACUAAAGGAAUAACAACUGAUAAUUAACAAGUAAAUGACAAACACGUAAACAGAAGUGUCUCACAAGGCUCAAAAGCAAGUCUUCUCCCAGGAGCUCCACCCAUAGAUCGCUUUGACAAAGGCUGUGCAUUCGAUGUGAAAGGAGACACGUCUGGGCCACUGCUAUUUUUCGCCCUCUUUCUCGCACCCUGCAGCGUGCGCGUUGAGCUAACAGGGGAUGACCGAAGGCAUUCUCUACCCCUACUCUCAUAGCUACUCUUAGAGGCAAGAACAAAAACCUCUGCAGCAAUACAUACAAGGCCUGCAGCAGUGACAUGGAUGACCAUCAUCGGAAAUCUGAAGAAGAGCACACAUUCUUCCUGGAAGGUCCUUUCUCAGAGCCUCAGAAGAGAACAAAUUUACAGACCAUUGCUGCAAAACCUACAAACAUGCACUAUGUUGGAAGCCAUGAAGAACUAGAACUUGGUUAAUGCU